rnacentral:rRNA from 1 species
GACGAACGCUGGCGGCGUGCUUAACACAUGCAAGUCGAACGAAGUGGCGAACGGGUGAGUAACGCGUAAUCAACCUGCCCUUCAGAGGGGGAUAACAGUGGGAAACGCUGGCUAAUACGGCAAACUGAAGAGGGGGUUUCGGUCUGAUUAGUUAGUUGGGGGGGUAACGGCCCACCAAGGCGAUGACCGGUAGCCGGUCUGAGAGGAUGAACGGCCACAUUGGGACUGGGACACGGCCCAGACUCCUACGGGAGGCAGCAGUGGGGAAUCUUCCGCAAUGGACGAAAGUCUGACGGAGCAACGCCGCGUGAGUGAUGACGGCCUUCGGGUUGUAAAGCUCUGUUAAUCGGGACGCGGUACCGGAAUAGAAAGCCACGGCUAACUACGUGCCAGCAGCCGCGGUAAUUC